rnacentral:rRNA from 1 species
AUUGAACGCUGGCGGAAUGCUUUACACAUGCAAGUCGAGCGGCAGCGCGGGGGCAACCCUGGCGGCGAGCGGCGAACGGGUGAGUAACAUAUCGGAACGUACCCCGUCCGUGGGGAGUAACACAGCGAAAGCUGUGCUAAUACCGCAUACGACCUGAGGGUGAAAGCGGGGGAGUCGCAAGACCUCGCGCGAUGGGAGCGGCCGAUAUCGGAUUAGCUUGUUGGUGAGGUAAAGGCUCACCAAGGCGACGAUCCGUAGCUGGUCUGAGAGGGCGACCAGCCACACUGGAACUGAGACACGGUCCAGACUCCUACGGGAGGCAGCAGU